rnacentral:rRNA from 1 species
AGAGUUUGAUCAUGGCUCAGAUUGAACGCUGGCGGCAGGCCUAACACAUGCAAGUCGAGCGGCAGCACAGAGGAACUUGUUCCUUGGGUGGCGAGCGGCGGACGGGUGAGUAAUGCCUGGGAAAUUGCCCUGAUGUGGGGGAUAACCAUUGGAAACGAUGGCUAAUACCGCAUGAUGCCUACGGGCCAAAGAGGGGG